rnacentral:rRNA from 1 species
AACGAACGCUGGCGGCAGGCUUAACACAUGCAAGUCGAACGCCCCGCAAGGGGAGUGGCGGACGGGUGAGUAACGCGUGGGAACGUACCUUUCGCUUCGGAAUAUUCCCGGGAAACUGGGAGCAAUGCCGAAUACGCCGUAUUGGGAAAGAUUUAUCGGCGAAAGAUCGGCCCGCGUUAGAUUAGCUAGUUGGCGGUGUAAUGGACCACCAAGGCUACGAUCUAUAGCUGGUCUGAGAGGAUGAUCAGCCACACUGGGACUGAGACACGGCCCAGACUCCUACGGGAGGCAGCAGUGGGGAAUCUUGGACAAUGGGCGCAAGCCUGAUCCAGCCAUGCCGCGUGAGUGAAGAAGGCCUUAGGGUUGUAAAACUCUUUCGCCGGAGAAGAUAAUGACGGUAUCCGGAGAAGAAGCCCCGGCUAACUUCGUGCCAGCAGCCGCCGUAA